rnacentral:rRNA from 2 species
UGGAUCCAGACUUUGAUUCUGGCUCAGGAUGAACGCUAGCUACAGGCUUAACACAUGCAAGUCGAGGGGAAACGGCAUUGAAAGCUUGCUUUCGAUGGGCGUCGACCGGCGCACGGGUGAGUAACGCGUAUCCAACCUGCCCAUCACUUGGGGAUAACCUUGCGAAAGUAAGACUAAUACCCAAUGACGUCUCUAGAAGACAUCUGAAAGAGAUUAAAGAUUUAUCGGUGAUGGAUGGGGAUGCGUCUGAUUAGCUUGUUGGCGGGGUAACGGCCCACCAAGGCGACGAUCAGUAGGGGUUCUGAGAGGAAGGUCCCCCACAUUGGAACUGAGACACGGUCCAAACUCCUACGGGAGGCAGCAGUGAGGAAUAUUGGUCAAUGGACGAGAGUCUGAACCAGCCAAGUAGCGUGCAGGAUGACGGCCCUAUGGGUUGUAAACUGCUUUUGUAAGGGAAUAAAGUGAGUCUCGUGAGGCUUUUUGCAUGUACCUUAUGAAUAAGGACCGGCUAAUUCCGUGCCAGCAGCCGCGGUAAUACGGAAGGUCCGGGCGUUAUCCGGAUUUAUUGGGUUUAAAGGGAGCGUAGGCCGGAGAUUAAGCGUGUUGUGAAAUGUAGAUGCUCAACAUCUGCACUGCAGCGCGAACUGGUUUCCUUGAGUACGCACAAAGUGGGCGGAAUUCGUGGUGUAGCGGUGAAAUGCUUAGAUAUCACGAAGAACUCCGAUUGCGAAGGCAGCUCACUGGAGCGCAACUGACGCUGAAGCUCGAAAGUGCGGGUAUCGAACAGGAUUAGAUACCCUGGUAGUCCGCACGGUAAACGAUGGAUGCCCGCUGUUGGUCUGAAUAGGUCAGCGGCCAAGCGAAAGCAUUAAGCAUCCCACCUGGGGAGUACGCCGGCAACGGUGCAACUCAAAUGAAUUGACGGA